rnacentral:rRNA from 1 species
AGCAGCCGCGGUAAUUCCAGCUCCAAUAGCGUAUAUUAAAGUUGUUGCAGUUAAAAAGCUCGUAGUUGAAUUUCGGGGUCAGUAGGUCGGUCGUGCCUACGGUAUGUACUGGUCUCACUGAUUCCUCCUUCUUGAAGAACCGUAAUGUCAUUAACUUGGUGUUGCGGGGAAACAGGACUGUUACUUUGAAAAAAUUAGAGUGUUUAAAGCAGGCCACCGCCUGAAUACAUUAGCAUGGAAUAAUGAAAUAGGACGUUCGAUCCUAUUCUGUUGGUUUCUAGGAUUGACGUAAUGAUUAAUAGGGAUAGUUGGGGGCAUUAGUAUUCAAUUGUCAGAGGUGAAAUUCUUGGAUUUAUUGAAGACUAACUACUGCGAAAGCAUUUGCCAAGGAUGUUUUCAUUAAUCAAGAACGAAAGUUAGGGGAUCGAAGACGAUCAGAUACCGUCGUAGUCUUAACCAUAAACUAUGCCGACUAGGGAUCGGAUGAUGUUAAUUUUUUAAUGUACUUCAUUCGGCGCCU